CGCGUAGGCGGACCAUUAAGUCAGGGUGAAAUCCCGGGGCUCAACCCCGGAACUGCCUUUGAUACUGGUGGUCUUGAGUUCAAGAGAGGUGAGUGGAAUUCCGAGUGUAGAGGUGAAAUUCGUAGAUAUUCGGAGGAACACCAGUGGCGAAGGCGGCUCACUGGCUCGAUACUGACGCUGAGGUGCGAAAGCGUGGGGAGCAAACA
rnacentral:rRNA from 1 species